rnacentral:lncRNA from 1 species
GCCGCCCCCGCGACCCGCGCCCGGCCACUCCCGGGGCUUCUGGGCUGCUUAUUCGAGGAUGGCCUUUGCAGACCGUCUGAGACCUGUGUAGAUGAUCCCCAAAGUCAAAUUACAAAGGAGUGGUCGUAUGUUCAACUGUAUUUCUGCAAACACAGAGGAAACACCAAUUAUAUUAUGCAAUUACCUUUUCUUAUCAUUUGGACUUUUUUUGAGCCUAAGUUAUCCAUUUUAUUUAAUUUUGACACACUUAGUAAUAAGUAUCAUUUUGCAGAAACAACUAAUGAACAGCUACUUUCUCCUAAUUUCAUUACAAAAAAAAGAUGCUAAUGAGCGAUCAACACGUCUUUGGAUUUGCAGUUUUUGUGGGAGGAGAGAGGCCGCCUGGCUUAUACCCGCUGGGACUGAUUUCUUCUUCUUCUGCUUCUUUUUUAAAUUCUAUUUGAAAAAUUCAACUGUGGAGGGAGCUACUGUAAUCUUCCCCUUAAGAAGGCCUAUGAAGAGGAAAAUCA